UUUCACUAGACUGCUGUUGAGCUGAACUGUUCUUUCUUCGACUAUUUUAAUAACCUUUCAUUAAACUGCAGCUGGAAUAAGGCAUAUAAAUCAAUUCUAGCAUUUUUUUAAUAGCAGUAUUCAACAACAAUGAUGUUUUUAUCAGCAGCUGGAUGUGUGUGGAUGGUUUAUAUUCUCUGCAUCUCAGGUGUUGAAGGAAAACCAAACAGCAUCUUUGCUUUGAAAGGAUCAUCAGUGAAUCUGAGCUGCUCAGCUCCACAUUCAGCUGCAAACGUCAAAUGGUACAUGGUGAGCAAGAGUAAUGCACAAUAUGUUUAUCAUGAUGUGUCUGCACAUAGUAAUCAUGAAGAGUUCAGUUUAUUAGAGGAUAAUUUCACUCUGACAAUCAGAGAUCUGACAGAGGACAAGACAAAAAGUUACUGCUGUAGUGAAACUAUUCCUAAAGAGAAACCAGAUAAAACCGACAGCUGUCAGCAGAACAGCAUUCAGCUCCAGGUUAUAGACCUCCAGGUAAAGGUGUUUCCUGCCUCAGAGGGACAGAAAGUGAGUCUGAUGUGCUCAAGCAGCUGUUCUCUGACUGAAAGCCCUGCAGCCUUCAUCUGGU